AACGCACCUUGCACCCUUUGGGUUUCCAAAGGGUAUGCUCGUUUGAGUGUCAUUAUACUCUCACACUCUCUGAUUUCAAAUCGGGAGUAGUGGACUUGGAUGUUGCUGCUUUAUUGUCAGGCUCAUCUCAAAUAUGUUAGUGCAACCUCUGCUUGGACAUAGUACAGCGUGAUAAGUAUCUUCGCUGGCAACUCGAAAGAGGAUGUCCAAAUUUGGAGCUCUGCGCUUCAAAUCGUCCUUUGGACUAUCUCUGAUAAACUGAUAACUUGACCUCAAAUCGAGUAGGACUACCCGCUGAACUUAA
rnacentral:rRNA from 1 species